rnacentral:rRNA from 1 species
UUUCUAGUCAUCAUAAAUAAGGUAUCUAACCUUGAAUACAUAGGGGUUAGAAGCGAACCUGGGGAACUGAAACAUCUAAGUACCCAGAGGAAAGGACAUCAAACGAGACUCCGCUAGUAGUGGCGAGCGAACGCGGACCAGGCCAGUGGCUUUUGUGAAUAAAGUGGAACGAGUUGGAAAACUCGACCGAAGUGGGUGAUAGUCCCGUACACGUAGAAUAGCAGAAGUCCUUGAGUAGGGCGGGACACGUGAAAUCCUGUCUGAACAUGGGUCGACCACGAUCCAAGCCUAAGUACUCGUGCAUGACCGAUAGCGAACCAGUACCGUGAGGGAAAGGUGAAAAGCACCCCGACGACCGGAGUGAAACAGUACCUGAAACCGGAUGCCUACAAACAGUUGG